UCGCUUGCUCCCGUGAUAAAAGCCCGCCACCGGGAACGGGCCGCCCCAGUCCUCAUCUUCCUCACCGUCUCUCCGGCUGGCGCGCAAACCCAAAUAUCCAACACACUCCCUCACCAUCCUCACUAUCACCGUCACCAUGAGAAUCCUGGUGGUGCUGCUGCUGGUGGUGGUGGUGGCCACGGCCGCCCUGGCGUCUCCCGCGCCCUGGUUCAAAUUCAAAUCGGCCAAAAGAGGACGCAGCUUGGGCGGCUCUGAGAUCGGCUGGGUUCCUCCGCGCGGUCUGGUGGCCUACAAGAGCCGCUACUAUGACAGGAGUGACGAGAGCUCCGAGGACGACUCCAGGAACGACUCAGACGAGAGCCGGAGCUACAGAAGGAGGUACUUCAGCCGCCGCUGGUGACGAGUUCGAGUAGUGGAUUGACGCGCUGUUGACCUCCUGACUCGCCUGCUUGCAGCUCUCAGCCUCUUGGACCACCGUGUUUACUGCUCUAGUGAUCCCAAUCUUUACUGCUCUAAAGCUCUAGUGAUCCCAAUCUUUACUGCUGUAAGGCUCUAGUGAUCCCAAUCUUUACUGCUCUAAGGCUCUAGUGAUCCCAAUCUUUACUGCUCUAAGGCUCUAGUGAUCCCAAUCUUUACUGCUCUAAGGCUCUAGUGAUCCCAAUCUUUACUGCUCUAAGGCUCUAGUGAUCCCAAUAUUUGCUGCUCUAAGGCUCUAGUGAUCCCAAUAUUUACUGCUCUAAGGCUCUAGUGAUCCCAAUCUUUACUGCUGUAAGGCUCUAGUGAUCCCAAUCUUUACUGCUCUGUGUAUCCAGUGACCCCAAUCCUUACCGCUCAGGAGGGGGGGGGGUCCAGUGAGCACAAUCACCUCCGUCCUGGGGUCAAGCAGAAGCAGGAGUUAGUCUUCAGAUCAAGCGUCGUCUCCAUCCUGUAACAUGUUGUCGUCAGUGCUGACCAAUGCCAAUAUAUCUAAGUUUACCAUUGAAAAUAUUCUUCAGACAACUAACAGAAAUCUACAGAAAAUGAUCCAAUUGAAUAAACACCACGAAUAGUUCCAAAGAUAUUGUUCAUUUGAACAAAAGUAUUAUUCUGUACCACACGGUUAAGGGCCACAUGAUUCAAUAGUUAUAUAAAUAGUAUUUUUAAUCAUUGCAAAUUGUUCGUGGUCGAUGAUUGGUCGAGAUUAAACUGUGCACUAUAGUUUGUGGUGUGAUUAAU